CGAGCGCAAAGAUGUUAUUUAAAUUAUUUGGAUUGCGCGCUCAGUGAACGUCAGAUUAUGACCUUGUGAGUGAACGCUUCCUAUGCAUUCAAUGCACGGGAGCAACUUACGACCGGCUCGGCUCGGCGCUUUUGUCACUCGCAGUCCCUGCGAAGCUUCUAAACGCACGGACGUACACCUCGCUUAGAAAAAUAUUACUCGCGAUCCACGAGGUCGAACUUUCUAAUACUUAUCGAUUUAUUUAAAUUACUUGUUGUGCUUCCCCAGUCUCGGGGCUCCUUCCUCCGUCAAGAGGUCCAUUGCUGUGCGGCCAUAGUCUGUCGCCUGCCCGCGACGCCGAACCUGACGUGGCAAGCGUUGCUUGUCGCUGCUGCCACUACGAGCGAACCAAGGACAGUGCGGUUGGAUUUUCAGAGACUUUAGUAGUGCGUCGGUUGAGACUAAUUAGGAACUCACUCCCUGAGACUUAUAUUAAUUAUUAAUAAACAAAUUUGGCUAUUC